UACGAGGGCUCCAAGCGUUAUCCGGAUUUAUUGGGCGUAAAGGGUGAGUAGGUGGUUUGGUACAUCUUUCGUUAAAUCCUGAGGCUUAACCUCAGGGCCGCGAAAGAGAUGGCCAGACUAGAGACCGGAAGAGGCAAACGGAAUUGUUGGUGUAGGGGUUAAAUCCGUUAAUAUCAACAAGAACACCAAAUGCGAAGGCAGUUUGCUAGGACGGUUCUGACACUGAGUCACUAAAGCGUGGGUAG
rnacentral:rRNA from 1 species